AUACGGAGGGUCCAAGCGUUAUCCGGAAUCAUGGGGUUUAAAGGGUCCGCAGGCGGUCAAUUAAGUCAGAGGUGAAAGCCCAUCGCUCAACGAUGGAACUGCCUUUGAUACUGGUUGACUUGAGUUAUACGGAAGUAGAUAGGAUAAGUAGUGUAGCGGUGAAAUGCAUAGAUAUUACUUAGAAUACCGAUUGCGAAGGCAGUCUACUACGUAUAUACUGACGCUGAGGGACGAAAGCGUGGGGAGCGAACAGGAUUAGAUACCCUAGUAGUCC
rnacentral:rRNA from 1 species